rnacentral:lncRNA from 1 species
UAUCAAACCCUCCAGAAAUGAGAAAAGAGCCUGCAACAGAAAAUGAAAGGGUGGAGAUGGGGGUCAACUUUCCAAGCCAAGUGAGCCCAAAGCCAGCUGAAGAUGCCUUGGCGAGGCACCACCUCAUCUCACUCUGACAACACUGAAACCCCUUCCUGGAGUGGCUCCACGACCCCAAGCCAAUUACAGCUGAUUCUUAUCAUUUACAGUAGUCAUGUUCUAUGACAGGGGUCCCCAGUCCCUGG